UGGGGAAUAUUGCACAAUGGGCGCAAGCCUGAUGCAGCCAUGCCGCGUGUAUGAAGAAGGCCUUCGGGUUGUAAAGUACUUUCAGCGGGGAGGAAGGUGUUGAGGCUAAUAACCUCAGCAAUUGACGUUACCCGCAGAAGAAGCACCGGCUAACUCCGUGCCAGCAGCCGCGGUAAUACGGAGGGUGCAAGCGUUAAUCGGAAUUACUGGGCGUAAAGCGCACGCAGGCGGUCUGUCAAGUCGGAUGUGAAAUCCCCGGGCUCAACCUGGGAACUGCAUUCGAAACUGGCAGGCUAGAGUCUUGUAGAGGGGGGUAGAAUUCCAGGUGUAGCGGUGAAAUGCGUAGAGAUCUGGAGGAAUGCCGGUGGCGAAGGCGGCCCCCUGGACAAAGACUGACGCUCAGGUGCGAAAGCGUGGGGAGCAAACA
rnacentral:rRNA from 1 species